rnacentral:pre_miRNA from 1 species
AGGAGGAACAACCCCAGUGGUGGGGCCAGCUCUGGAGCCCUGGAGUCAGCCCCCGCAGUAACUCCGGAGCUCUCCGUCUGCAGGGCCUGGAGGCUCCGGGGCGGG